GAUGAACGCUGGCGGCGUGCCUAACACAUGCAAGUCGAACGAAGCAAUCAGAAUGAAGUUUUCGGAUGGAUUUCGGAUUGACUGAGUGGCGGACGGGUGAGUAACGCGUGGAUAACCUGCCUCACACUGGGGGAUAACAGUUAGAAAUGGCUGCUAAUACCGCAUAAGCGCACAGUGCCGCAUGGUACGGUGUGAAAAACUCCGGUGGUGUGAGAUGGAUCCGCGUCUGAUUAGCCAGUUGGCGGGGUAACGGCCCACCAAAGCGACGAUCAGUAGCCGACCUGAGAGGGUGACCGGCCACAUUGGGACU
rnacentral:rRNA from 1 species